AACGCACCUUGCGCUCCUUGGUAUUCCGAGGAGCAUGCCUGUUUGAGUGUCAUGAAAUUGUCAACCUUUAAAGGAUUGGAUUGUGGAAGUUGCUGGUUCAGACCGAGUCAGCUCUUCUUAAAUGCAUUAGCAAGCGUCUUUGAUAUGAUAAUUAUCUAUAUUAUUGACGAUAGGGAAUAAAAUAAUUUGACCUCAAAUCAGGUAGGACUACCCGCUGAACUUAA
rnacentral:misc_RNA from 1 species